UUCGCAAUGCCCGAAAGGGUGACGAAGCGACGCCGCGUGAGCGAAGAAGGCCCUAGGGUUGUAAAGCUCUGUCAGGGGUUAAGAAAUGUAGAUAGGUUAAUACCCUGUUUAUUUGACAAAGGCCCCAAAGGAAGCCACGGCUAACUCUGUGCCAGCAGCCGCGGUAAUACAGAGGUGGCAAGCGUUGUUCGGUAUUAUUGGGCGUAAAGAGCACGUAGGUGGUUUUGUAAGUCAGAUGUGAAAGCCUUCUGUUCAAAGGAAGAACGGCAUCUGAAACUACAGAUCUUGAGUGUAGGAGGGGAGAGUGGAACUUCUGGUGGAGCGGUGAAAUGCGUAGAUAUCAGAAGGAACGUCGGCGGCGAAAGCGACUCUCUGGCCUAUUACUGACACUGAGUGUGCGAAAGUUAGGGGAGCAAACGGGAUUAGAUACCCCGGUAGUCCUAACUGUAAACGAUGGGCACUAAGUAGAGGGGUUUU
rnacentral:rRNA from 1 species